rnacentral:rRNA from 1 species
UACGUAGGUGGCAAGCGUUGUCCGGAAUUAUUGGGCGUAAAGCGCGCGCAGGCGGUCCUUUAAGUCUGAUGUGAAAGCCCACGGCUCAACCGUGGAGGGUCAUUGGAAACUGGGGGACUUGAGUACAGAAGAGGAAAGUGGAAUUCCACGUGUAGCGGUGAAAUGCGUAGAGAUGUGGAGGAACACCAGUGGCGAAGGCGACUUUCUGGUCUGUAACUGACGCUGAGGCGCGCAAGCGUGGGGAGAACACAGGAGGAGAUAACCCCGUAGUCC